AUUGAACGCUGGCGGCAUGCCUUACACAUGCAAGUCGAACGGCAGCGUGGGAGCAAUCCUGGCGGCGAGUGGCGAACGGGUGCGUAAUACAUCGGAACGUGCACAAUCGCGGGGGAUAACGCAGAGAAAGCUGUGCUAAUACCGCAUACGAUCUCCGGCUGAAAGCAGGGGAUCGGGAGAGCAUGCGCGCAUGGAGUGGCCGAUGGCGGAUUAGGUAGUUGGUGAGGUAAAGGCUCACCAAGCCCACGAUCUGUAGCUGGUCUGAGAGGACGACCAGCCACACUGGGACUGAGACACGGCCCAGACUCCUACGGGAGGCAGCAGUGGGGAAUUUUGGACAAUGGGCGAAAGCCUGAUCCAGCCAUGCCGCGUGCAGGAUGAAGGCCUUCGGGUUGUAAACUGCUUUUGUACGGAACGAAACGGUCUUGUCUAAUAAAGAAGGCUAAUGACGGUACCGGAAGAAUAAGCACCGGCUAACUACGUG
rnacentral:rRNA from 1 species